UUUCCAUAGGCUCCCUGCCUCAGUCAGUGCACAGGAUAGAUGCACAAAGGGAUAGAAUUGCGGUUAAAUAGAUAACCAUAAAUCUGGCAUUUCCUAACUUUUGAAUUUUUCAUUUUGCAAGGUGACUCCUGAGCAGUAUCGCCAGAGGAAGGAGGGAUCUUCAGAGCAGAAUCCAAUACUGAAGACAGAACUGGACUGCCAACUGCCACAUCUGAUCUAGAGACAUGAACCAAAAUAAUCCAGGGUGGUGGAAAGAGAAGCGUGGUCAAGAGAUACUUGCCGACAGAUACACCAUAGGUUAAAUUUCUUCCAUUUCUAAAG